AGUGAACGCUGGCGGUAGGCCUAACACAUGCAAGUCGAACGAGUGGCGGACGGGUGAGUAAUGUCUGGGAAACUGCCUGAUGGAGGGGGCUAACUACUGGAAACGGUAGCUAAUACCGCAUACCAUCGGAUGUGCCCAGAUGGGAUUAGCUUGUAGGUGGGGUAACGGCUCACCAAGGCGACGAUCCCUAGCUGGUCUGAGAGGAUGACCAGCCACACUGGAAAUGAGACACGGGCCAGACUCCUACGGGAGGCAGCAGUGGGGAAUAUUGCACAAUGGGCGCAAGCCUGAUGCAGCCAUGCCGCGUGUAUGAAGAAGGCCUUCGGGUUGUAAAGUACUUUCAGCGGGGAGGCGUUACCCGCAGAAGAAGCACCGGCUAACUCCGUGCCAGCAGCCGCGGUAAUAC
rnacentral:rRNA from 1 species